UAAUCUUAUUGGUGGAAUUAGGUCUUAAUAAGAAACCCUACAGGAAGUGUCAAGAAGCAGUGAAAGCCUAAAUAGAGGAGAGGAUCACAUCACAAAAAGUUGCCCUCUAAAGCGAAAAGCGUAUAAAACGUGUAAAACUGGAGACUUGACUAGUUGAUUUGAUUCUUGUAUAUUUCUUUACGUGGCUAACUUGGCUUUAAAAGAAAAGAAUGCCUCCUUGUUUAUCAAAAUUAACGAUGAGAGACGUCUACUGCAUUUAUCCACAAAAGAAUAAUGCUGUACCACAAUACAACCAAACGAUCAUUGCUAUGCUCCAAAAAAGACCUGAGCGAAGUUCUUUCGCUAGAACUGAUAUGUACGAUAUUGUGAGCUUGCUUUACAUGUCGAAUGAGUUGGUUGAAAAAGAGAUCAUGAAAAGUGAAGGAGAAAAUCCACUCUCGUUUAUUCUGUCUCACCUUGACGCAACACACGAGACUUUGUAACUGUUACUCGAUACUUUAUGGCUGGAAAUAUAGACCAUGAAGGUUCCAUAAGCAAGAACUAUUUUCGGACAUAGAGAAGUGCGAUUACAUCGAAAGUCCAAUUACAGGUGAUGGUCGUCCAGUAGGUGACCAUAAAUUACCCAAUGGUAAUUUGGCAACGUCUUAGUCAGGUGACCAAACAAACGCUUCUAACCCACAACUCCUCCGCGGAUCAUUAUGACAACAUCAUUUUUUCCGUGUUAAUUUUGUUUGUUAAUUUCUUGGUUAUAAAAGUAGCAAUUUUGGACUUAUCGGACGAGUACUAAACUAAAGUACCAGUGUUGCCAGAUCGUGAACAAAGUUCAACAUUCAAACAAGACUUUCAACUUGAUUAGUACAUUUUUACCUUCGUGGCUAACUUGGCUUCAGCAGAAGAGCCAUGGAUAAUUUGCGUGCUAAAACUUCGAAAAUCAAGACACGUUCAGAAAAUGAGCAAAAUAACCAAAGCAAUGGUGAGGAAAACUUUCAAGAUCGUCUUGGAGAAGUGAGAGCGGAAAUGGGAAAUGGUACUGGAGGUUAUCUCAUACCAGAGAGCCGUAUUGAAGAAUUCAAUUGUUCGCCUUACAUACCAGAAGAACUUUAAAUUGACUUUGGCCUGAUGUAUUAGAACCUUCAUAUUUAAAAACAACCACUAACCUUAUAUGUUUUAUAGUUUUACUAUCCUGAUUUCAAUUAACUGUAAGACGUUUAUCUCUAUUUGUAUAUUUAAAUAUCACCUUUAAGUAACACAUUCAUUUGCACUGAUGAUGGCAUAAGUUUGCCGAAACAUGUCUGUAAUAAAAAAGUUUGUUUUAUA